AAGUCGUAACAAGGUUUCCGUAGGUGAACCUGCGGAAGGAUCAUUUCCGAAAACAACUUCUUACAAACCAAUCGUGUGAAAUGUUUUGGGUUUUUUUUACUCUAGGAGGUAGGGCUUAGUUGCUGUGAUAGUGACAAUAGUAGUGCCAGUGGGUAUGCGCUAUUGCCCUCCUAUCAUGCGAUGCUUGACGCUCUACUCUCCUAGAGGCCAUGAUGAACUACCUUCGGGUUGAUAGUAUCGUUCUUUUACCUUUGUUGUAAAACAAAAAAUAAAUGAUACGACAACUUUUAACGGUGGAUCUCUUGGCUCGU
rnacentral:misc_RNA from 1 species